CCUACGGGAGGCAGCAGUGGGGAAUAUUGCACAAUGGGGGAAACCCUGAUGCAGCGACGCCGCGUGAGUGUAGAAGUAUUUCGGUAUGUAAAGCUCUAUCAGCAGGGAAGAGAAUGACGGUAGCUGAGUAAGAAGCCCCGGCUAACUACGUGCCAGCAGCCGCGGUAAUACGUAGGGGGCAAGCGUUAUCCGGAUUUACUGGGUGUAAAGGGAGCGUAGACGGCGAAGAAAGUCUGAAGUGAAAGCCCGCGGCUCAACCGCGGAACUGCUUUGGAAACUUUUUUGCUGGAGUACCUGAGAGGUAAGCGGAAUGUGUAGUGUAGCGGUGAAAUGCGUAGAUAUUAGGAGGAACACCAGUGGCGAAGGCGGCUUACGGGACGGUAACUGACGUUGAGGCUCGAAAGCGUGGGGAGCAAACAGGAUUAGAUACCCCGGUAGUC
rnacentral:rRNA from 1 species